rnacentral:rRNA from 1 species
AUUGAACGCUGGCGGCAUGCCUUACACAUGCAAGUCGAACGGCAGCGCGGGGCAACCUGGCGGCGAGUGGCGAACGGGUGAGUAAUAUAUCGGAACGUACCCUGGAGUGGGGGAUAACGUAGCGAAAGUUACGCUAAUACCGCAUACGAUCUAAGGAUGAAAGUGGGGGCAUCGCAAGACCUCAUGCUCCUGGAGCGGCCGAUAUCUGAUUAGCUAGUUGGUGGGGUAAAGGCCUACCAAGGCAUCGAUCAGUAGCUGGUCUGAGAGGACGACCAGCCACACUGGAACUGAGACACGGUCCAGACUCCUACGGGAGGCAGCAGUGGGGAAUUUUGGACAAUGGGCGCAAGCCUGAUCCAGCAAUGCCGCGUGAGUGAAGAAGGCCUCGGUUGUAAAGCUCUUUUGUCAGGGAAGAAACGGUGAGGGCUAAUAUCCCCUUGCUAAUGACGGUACCUGAAGAAUAAGCACCGGCUAACUACGUGCCAGCAGCCGCGGUAAUACGUAGGGUGCAAGCGUUAAUCGGAAUUACUGGGCGUAAAGCGUGCGCAGGCGGUUUUGUAAGUCUGUCGNGAAAUCCCCGGGCUCAACCUGGGGAAUUGCGAUGNGACUGCAAGGCUAGAAUCU